rnacentral:rRNA from 1 species
GCCAGCAGUCAUGUCACCCUGCAGCUCACAGCUCACAGCCCACUGAAGCCCAGCGGGUGUGGGCCUGGUCUGUACCUGGAGGGGAGACCUCCUGGGAAACACUAAGGUUGCUGCUGGAA